rnacentral:sRNA from 11 species
UUAGACGCGGCUGGAGGCCAAGGUCAAGUUGAAAGUUGCAGUCUGGCCAAACAG